rnacentral:rRNA from 1 species
AGUGAACGCUGGCGGUAGGCCUAACACAUGCAAGUCGAACGGCAGCACAGUAAGAGCUUGCUCUUACGGGUGGCGAGUGGCGGACGGGUGAGGAAUACAUCGGAAUCUACUUUUUCGUGGGGGAUAACGUAGGGAAACUUACGCUAAUACCGCAUACGACCUACGGGUGAAAGCAGGGGAUCUUCGGACCUUGCGCGAGUGAAUGAGCCGAUGUCGGAUUAGCUAGUUGGCGGGGUAAAGGCCCACCAAGGCGACGAUCCGUAGCUGGUCUGAGAGGAUGGUCAGCCACACUGGAACUGAGACACGGUCCAGACUCCUACGGGAGGCAGCAGUGGGGAAUAUUGGACAAAGGGCGCAAGCCUGAUCCAGCCAUACCGCGUGGGUGAAGAAGGCCUUCGGGUUGUAAAGCCCUUUUGUUGGGAAAGAAAAGCAGCAGGUUAAUACCCCGCUGUUCUGACGGUACCCAAAGAAUAAGCACCGGCUAACUUCGUG